rnacentral:rRNA from 1 species
AGUGAACGCUGGCGGUAUGCCUAACACAUGCCAGUCGAACGGCAGCACAGUAAGAGCUUGCUCUUACGGGUGGCGAGUGGCGGACGGGUGAGGAAUACAUCGGAAUCUACUUUUUCGUGGGUGAUAACGUAGGGAAACUUACGCUAAUACCGCAUACGACCUACGGGUUGAAGCAAGGGAUCUUCGGACCUUGCGCGAUUGAAUGAGCCGAUGUCGGAUUAGCUAGUUGGCGGGGUAAAGGCCCACCAAGGCGACGAUCCGUAGCUGGUCUGAGAGGAUGAUCAGCCACACUGGAACUGAGACACGGUCCAGACUCCUACGGGAGGCAGCAGUGGGGAAUAUUGGACAAUGGGCGAAAGCCUGAUCCAGCCAUACCGCGUGGGUGAAGAAGGCCUUCGGGUUGUAAAGCCCUUUUGUUGGGAAAGAAAAGCAGCAGGUUAAUACCCCGCUGUUCUGACGGUACCCAAAGAAUAAGCACCGGCUAACUUCGUG